rnacentral:lncRNA from 1 species
CAUUGGAAUGUGGCUAUCUCCUCCUAAGGCUUUCGUCCCACCGAUACCAAAUUUGCUCAGGGCAAUCUACACCCCAUGCCCAUUCAAAGUUGUAAAAAUCAUGACGCUGCACCCCACGGUUUACGUUCUAGGGGGCGCCAAAGAUGACCCAAAAAUCCACAUUCUUAAAAGUCAUUUUGGCCACUGCAGGAGUACAGAGUACUGCAGUUCUAGGGGGCGCCAAAGAUGACCCAAAAAUCCACAUUCUUAAAAGUCUUUUUGGCCACUGCAGGAGUACAGAGUACUGCAGGAUACACACACAUAUACACACACGCCAACAUACACACACACACACACACACACACACACACACACACACACACACACACACACAGACACACACCCACACUCAGAGUCUGUUUUUUAGCACCUGCAAAAACAUGCUGUUUACAUAUUUGACAAGAAUGCAGAGGCUUCCUUUUGCCCCUGAAAAAAAUCAAAUUUCAAACACAACUUGACGUUUCAUUUCUCCAAAAGACAACCAUGAAGCUCCAUUUCAAACCUGAAGCAGAUAGUUGGUGCAUGUGUACAGUAACCUGAGGGGAGUGAGGUGACUAUUUCUGAGGAGAACAUGAGCAGUGAAGAUUCACCUUGGAGCUAGAACAGGGACGUGCACAUGAUUAUACAGGGGCAGGGGCUCAAGUUUUUUCCAGUCAUUUAUACAAUAUGGAAAUUAAUGUGAAAUUAAACCACAAAUAUGUGUGAUGAACUGUUUUUAAAACUUAAACUUCAAAUAAAAAUUGUAAACUUCAAAACAUAUGCAAAUUUUUAACAAAGAACAUAGUAAUUUACCUCUAUUUACAUCAAAAUGCAGGCAAUGGCCCAGGCGUUCUUUGUAAAAUUAUUUACAAAACACUGUAUAGUCUCACAAAUGUCACUUUUUAUUUAUGCCACUACAAAAAAACAUGAUGUAAAUGAUGCAUGAUGUAAAACAUGAUGUAAAAAACUUGUGUAGAUCCUCCUCUAUGUCAGUCCAUGUGUAAUUUUUCCAUAAUUCUUUGUUUUUGCAGCAUUUUUGUUAGUGUAACUGCAGAUUGUGCUGACAGUGUCUAUGGCACAAAAAAAAAAAAAAAUUAAAAUGCCUCAACAUGAACCCCUGGUGGUCUCUGAGGGUGAAACCUGCUAACUGCUGCAGCUCUGUCAGCUUCAGUCUCCCAUGCAGAGCUCUGAGCGCAUGUGUGGCUCUGCACCCUUAGCAGCGUUGCUAACUCCUCAGUAAGGAAAGCCUGCUUCAUGUCAGAGUCUCUAAACUCCAGAAGAAGUCGAUAAAAGUCCCUUUCUUUCUAAAAAAAAGUCGUUAGGGGGUCUGAAAAGUCAUUGAAUCUAACAACAAAGUCGCUAGGUUUGCAACUACGUGUCCCAGACUGCAUCCCUGCUGAGAGUCCCUCCCUCCCUUCUCAUGUUGCAGGAAGAACGUAAGCGCCCGCCCCUUGUCAAUCAGUCACCAUAUAAUUUUGGAUUGGGGAAAUUUUGCUAAACAAUGUGACAAUCACGUGCCUUGCCUGGUAUCAUUUUUUUCAGCACAACCUCACCUGUGCGAAUUUACAGUUAUUUUAUCAUGUUGACAUACUGAAUUUACACAAUGGACCCAAAUUCACACACAAAACAUAAAAUCCGAGUGGAAAAAAGUAACAUUUUUACUGUGAAAACCACAAAUAUGUGUGAUGAACUGUUUUUAAAACUUAAACUUCAAAUAAAAAUUGUAAACUUCAAAACAUAUGCAAAUUUUUAACAAAGAACAUAGUGAUUUACCUCUAUUUACAUCAAAAUGCAGGCAAUGGCCCAGGCGUUCUUUGUAAAAUUAUUUACAAAACACUGUAUAGUCUCACAAAUGUCACUUUUUAUUUAUGCCACUACAAAAAAACAUGAUGUAAAUGAUGCAUGAUGUAAAACAUGAUGUAAAAAACUUGUGUAGAUCCUCCUCUAUGUCAGUCCAUGUGUAAUUUUUCCAUAAUUCUUUGUUUUUUGCAGCAUUUUUGUUAGUGUAACUGCAGAUUGUGCUGACAGUGUCUAUGGCACAAAAAAAAAAAAAUUUAAAAUGCCUCAACAUGAACCCCUGGUGGUCUCUGAGGGUGAAACCUGCUAACUGCUGCAGCUCUGUCAGCUUCAGUCUCCCAUGCAGAGCUCUGAGCGCAUGUGUGGCUCUGCACCCUUAGCAGCGUUGCUAACUCCUCAGUAAGGAAAGCCUGCUUCAUGUCAGAGUCUCUAAACUCCAGAAGAAGUCGAUAAAAGUCACUUUCUUUCUAAAAAAAAGUCGUUGGGGGUCUGAAAAGUCAUUGAAUCUAACAACAAAGUCGCUAGGUUUGCAACUACGUGUCCCAGACUGCAUCCCUGCUGAGAGUCCCUCCCUCCCUUCUCAUGUUGCAGGAAGAACGUAAGCGCCCGCCCCUUGUCAAUCAGUCACCAUAUAAUUUUGGAUUGGUUGUUGUGGUGAAGUUUUCCACCAAUAGGAGAGAUGUUGUGGUGUGUUUUUUUUUCUUUUGGCAAGCCUUUUCCGCCUGUAAGACCUGUCGCUAAUGUCUGCAUGCUAUGUUUUCCUGUCUCAUACAGCGCGAUCGAGCGCCGAACGUGAUCAAAAUAAGCAGAAAAAAAGUAUCGCGGACAUAAUUUAUCAUAACUCUGGUUUUAUUUGGCCUAUCAACACAAUUUAAAAACUGGUAUAUAGGUUGAGGUCCUCACUUUUGAGAUAAGUUGAAACGGAGAGUCAACGAGGCUCCGUCUUGCAGCUACAUCCGGUUAAAUAUGUCAUGUGACUUGAACGCACACACAGACACACACACACGCACACACACACACACACACACACACACACACACACACACACACACACUCAGAGUCUGGUUUUUAGCACCUGCAAAAACAUGCUAUUUACAUAUUUGACAAGAAUGCAGAGGCUCCUUUUGCCCCUGAAAAAAAAUCAAAUUUCAAACACAACUUGACUGGUCAUUUCUCCAAAAGACAACCAUGAAGCUCCAUCCAAACCUGAAGCAGGCAGUUGGUGCAUGUGUACAGUAACCUGAGGGGAGUGAGGUGAGUGCUUCUGAGGAGAACAUGAGCAGUGAAGAUUCACCUUGGAGCUAGAACAGAGACGUGCACAUGAUUAUACAGGGGCAGGGGCUCAAGUUUUUUCCAGUCGUUUAUACAAUAUGGAAAUUAAUGUGAAAUUAAAACACAAAGUAUUAAUAGAAAGGAAAUGACUGUCCUGUGUAGGUGACAGUGAUAUCCAAUAGGCUAGGCACUCACGAGGCUGGCUGUGGCAAGUGUAAGUGAAAGCAACACGCACUGGCAGGAAGAACAGCAAACGCCGAUGAAGGAAAAGGGUCUUUGCAGUGAUGGGCGUUACCAGAGAGGGCGAUGGCCAGAGGACACAAAUGGGACGGGGAGGCAGCACGUUGGGGGGGGGGGGGACGCGACACGGCUCGGGCCCGCCAGUGCCCCAACGGGGUCCUAGUUAGGGCCCGAGCGUAGCUGCUAAGCAGCUGCGAGAGCCCUAUUAUUCCCCAAGUGGUUUUUCUUUGUUUCUUUUUUCUUUUUCCUCCCCUUUGAACUGGAAAAUGGCCCACUUCCCACUGGCGAAAACUCAUGAAAUUUGGCAGGACAACCGGGCCUGGUGAAAAAUUUGAUAUUCCGAAGUCGCCCAAACAAGAAAAUGCAAAAUGGCUCCAUAGCGCCCCCUAAGGUGAAAAUUCACACUAUUGACUGUCACGCCUGUACGCUUUGUCAAAAUGACACAAAAAUUGACACACACAUGUAUCUCAAUAAGAUCUACAAAAAAGUCAGUGCGGGCGUAUCUGUCAAAUGUACGGUUAAAGGGUUAUUUCGCAUUUUUUGCCGAUCCGCACACAUUGGAAUUUCGCUAACUCCUCAGAAGGCUUUCGUUCCACCGGCACCACAUUUGCUCAGGCCAAUCUACACCCCAUGGCCAUUAAAAGUUAUUCAAAUCAUGACGAUGCACCCCACGGUUUAGGUUCUAGGGGGCGCCAAAGAUAACCCUAAAAUCCACAUUUUUAAAAGUCUUAUAACUUUUUAUUUUUGCCCUCACUGGCCUCCAAGUUUUCUAGGAUGAUGCAAUGUCCAGCCAUCAACACAUUUGUGAAUGAAUUUUUACUCCCCAAAAGAGCGCCCCCCCAUGGCAGGAGAAAAAAGUCCAUUUUUUCUUGUCCCCUAAGGUGAAAAUACACAUUGUUGAGUGUUACGCCUGUACGCUUUGGCAAAAUGACACAAAAAUUGACACACACAUGUAUCUCAAGAAGAUCUACAAAAAAGUCCAUGCGCACGUAUCUGUCUAAUGUACGGUUAAAGGGUUAUUCCGCAUUUUUUGCCGAUUCCCACACAUUGGAAUUUCGCUAACUCCUCCGAAGGCUUUCGUUCCACCGGCACCACAUUUGCUCAGGCCAAAUUACACCCCAUGGCCAUUAAAAGUUAUUCAAAUCAUGACGCUGCACCCCACGGUUUACGUUCUAGGGGGCGCCAAAGAUAACCCAAAAAUCCACAUUUUUAAAAGUCUUUUAACUUUUUAUUUUUGUCCUCACUGGCCUCCAAGUUUUCUAGGAUGAUGCAAUGUCCAGCCAUCAACACAUUUGUGAAGGAAUUUUUACUCCCUAAAAGAGCGCCCCCCCAUGGCAGGAGAAAAAAGUCCAUUUUUUCUUGUCCCCUAAGGUGAAAAUACACAUUGUUGACUGUCACGCCUGUACGCUUUGGCAAAAUGACACAAAAAUUGACAAUCAUGUGUAUCUCAAUUAGAUCUACGAAAAAGUCAAAAAGCGCGUAUCUGUAUAAUGUAUGGUAAAAGGGCUAUUUUGCAUUUUUUGCCAAUUCGCACACAUUGGAAUUUCGCUAACUCCUCCUAAGGCCUUUGUCCCACUGACACCAAAUUUGCUCAGGCCAAUCUACACUCCAUGGCCAUUCAAAGUUGUAAAAAUCAUGACGCUGCACCCCACGGUUUACGUUUUAGGGGGCGCCAAAGAUGACCCAAAUAUACAUUACAGUAGACAAAGUAGUUUUGCCCACUGAGUGGCGCCAAAGGGACUUGUCUGUGGAGUCUGUGAGUCACUAUUGGCCGUUUUUGACUACUUUAGAUUUUACCUUUAUAUUUCCUCUUACAAAAUUUUUACCUUGCCUUGCCUGGUAUCAUUUUUUUCAGCACAACCUCACCUGUGUCAAUUUACAGUUAUUUUAUCAUUUUGACAUACUAUAUUUACACAUUGGACCCAAAUUCACACACAAAACAUAAAAUCCGAGUGGAAAAAAGUAACGUUUUUACUGUGAAAACCACAAAUAUGUGUGAUGAACUGUUUUUAAAACUUAAACUUCAAAUAAAAAUUGUAAACUUCAAAACAUAUGCAAAUUUUUAACAAAGAACAUAGAAAUUUACCUCUAUUGACAUCAAAAUGCAGGCAAUGGCCCAGGUGUUCUUUGUAAAAUUAUUUACAAAACACUGUAUAGUCUCACAAAUGUCACUUUUUAUUUAUGCCACUACAAAAAAACAUGAUGUAAAUGAUGCAUGAUGUAAAACAUGAUGUAAAAAACUUGUGUAGAUCCUCCUCUAUGUUAGUCCAUGUGUAAUUUUUCCAUAAUUCUUUGUUUUUUGCAGCAUUUUUGUUAGUGUAACUGCAGAUUGUGCUGACAGUGUCUAUGGCAAAAAAAAAAAAAAAAAAAACUGAAAAUGCCUCAACAUGAACCCCUGGUGGUCUCUGAGGGUGAAACCUGCUAACUGCUGCAGCUCUGUCAGCUUCAGUCUCCCAUGCAGAGCUCGGAGCGCAUGUGUGGCUCUGCACCCUUAGCAGUGUUGCUAACUCCUCAGUAAGGAAAGCCUGCUUCAUGUCAGAGUCUCUAAACUCCAGAAGAAGUCGAUAAAAGUCACUUUCUUUCUAAAAAAAAGUCGUUAGGGGGUCUGAAAAGUCAUUGAAUCUAACAACAAAGUCGCUAGGUUUGCAACUACGUGUCCCAGACUGCAUCCCUGCUGAGAGUCCCUCCCUCCCUUCUCAUAUUGCAGGAAGAACGUAAGUUCCCGCCCCUUGUCAAUCAGUCACCAUAUAAUUUUGGAUUGGUUGUUGUGGUGAAGUUUUCCACCAAUAGGAGAGAUGUUGUGGUGUGUUUUUUUUUUCCUUUGGCAAGCCUUUUCCGCCUGUAAGACCUGUCGCUAAUGUCUGCAUGCUAUGUUUUCCUGUCUCAUACAGCGCGAUCGAGCGCCGAACGUGAUCAAAAUAAGCAGAAAACAAGUAUCGCGGACAUAAUUUAUCAUAACUCUGGUUUUAUUUGGCCUAUCAACACAAUUUAAAAACUGGUAUAUAGGUUGAGGUCCUCACUUUUGAGAUAAAUUGAAACGGAGAGUCAACGAGGCUCCGUCUUGCAGCUACAUCCAGUUAAAUAUGUCAUGUGACUUGAACGCACACACACACACACACACACACACACACACACACAACACACACACACACACACGCACACACACACACUCAGAGUCUGGUUUUUAGCACCUGCAAAAACAUGCUAUUUACAUAUUUGACAAGAAUGCAGAGGCUCCUUUUGCCCCUGAAAAAAAUCAAAUUUCAAACACAACUUGACUGGUCAUUUCUCCAAAAGACAACCAUGAAGCUCCAUCCAAACCUGAAGCAGGCAGUUGGUGCAUGUGUACAGUAACCUGAGGGGAGUGAGGUGACUGCUUCUGAGGAGAACAUGAGCAGUGAAGAUUCACCUUAGAGCUAGAACAGAGACGUGCACAUGAUUAUACAGGGGCAGGGGCUCAAGUUUUUUCCAGUUGUUUAUACAAUAUGGAAAUUAAUGUGAAAUUAAAAAACAAAGUAUUAAUAGAAAGGUAAUGACUGUCCUGUGUAGGUGACAGUGAUAUCCAAUAGGCUAGGCACUCACGAGGCUGGCUGUGGCAAGUGUAAGUGAAAGCAACACGCACUGGCAGGAAGAGCAGCAAACGCCGAUGAAGGAAAAGGGUCUUUGCAGUGAUGGGCGUUACCAGAGAGGGCGACGGCCAGAGGACGCGAAUGGGAUGGGGAGGCAGCGCGUUGGGGGGGGGGACGCGACACAGCUCGGGCCCGCCAGUGCCCCAACGGGGUCCUAGUUAUUAUUUUUCCUCCCCUUUGAACUGGAAAAUGGCCCACUUCCCACUGGCGAAAACUCAUGAAAUUUGGCAGGACGACCGGGCCUGGUGAAAAAUUUGAUAUUCCGAAGUCGGCCAAACAAUAAAAUGCAAAAUGGCUCCAUAGCGCCCCCUAAGGUGAAAAAUUCACCUGACGCCUGUACGCUUUGUCAAAAUGACACAAAAAUUGACACACACAUGUAUCUCAAUAAGAUCUACAAAAAAGUCAGUGCGGGCGUAUCUGUCAAAUGUACGGUUAAAGGGUUAUUGCGCAUUUUUUGCCGAUCCGCACACAUUGGAAUUUCGCUAACUCCUCCGAAGGCUUUCGUUCCACCGGCACCACAUUUGCUCAGGCCAAUCUACACCCCAUGGCCAUUAAAAGUUAUUCAAAUCAUGACGCUGCACCCCACGGUUUAGGUUCUAGGGGGCGCCAAAGAUAACACUAAAAUCCACAUAUUUCAAAAGUCUUAUAACUUUUUAUUUUUGUCCUCACUGGCCUCCAAGUUUUCUAGGAUGAUGCAAUGUCCAGCCAUCAACACAUUUGUGAAGGAAUUUUUACUCCCAAAAGAGCGCCCCCCCAUGGCAGGAGAAAAAAGUCCAUUUUUUCUUGUCCCCUAAGGUGAAAAUACACAUUGUUGAGUGUCACGCCUGUACGCUUUGUCAAAAUGACACAAAAAUUGACACACACAUGUAUCUCAAUAAGAUCUACAAAAAAGUCAAUGGGCGCGUAUCUGUCAAAUGUACGGUUAAAGGGUUAUUCCGCAUUUUUUGCCGAUCCGCACACAUUGGAAUUUCGCUAACUCCUCCGAAGGCUUUCGUUCCACCGGCACCACAUUUGCUCAGGCCAAUCUACACCCCAUGGCCAUUAAAAGUUAUUCAAAUCAUGACGCUGCACCCCACGGUUUACGUUCUAGGGGGCGCCAAAGAUAACCCAAAAAUCCAAAUUUUUAAAAGUCUUAUAACUUUUUAUUUUUGUCCUCACUGGCCUCCAAGUUUUCUAGGAUGAUGCAAUGUCCAGCCAUCAACACAUUUGUGAAGGAAUUUUUACUCCCCAAAAGAGCGCCCCCCCAUGGCAGGAGAAAAAAGUCAAUUUUUUCUUGUCCCCUAAGGUGGAAAUUCACACUAUUGACUGUCACGCCUGUACGCUUUAUCAUAUUGACACAAAAAUUGACACACAUAUGUAUCUCAAUAAGAUCUACAAAAAAGUCAAUGCGCGCGUAUCUGUCAAAUGUACGGUUAAAGGGCUAUUUUGCAUUUUUUGCCGAUUCGCACACAUUGGAAUGUGGCUAACUCCUCCUAAGGCUUUCGUCCCACUGACACCAAAUUUGCUCAGGCCAAUCUACACCCCAUGGCCAUUCAAAGUUGUAAAAAUCAUGACGCUGCACCCCACGGUUUACGUUCUAGGGGGCGCCAAAGAUGACCCAAAAUCCACAUUCUUAAACUUUUAUUUUGUCCCACUGGCCUCCAAGUUUUCUAGAUAUGCAUGUCAGCCAUCAACACAUUUGUGAAGGAAUUUUUCUCCCAGCCCCCCCCAAGGCAGGAGAAAAAGUCAAGUUAACCCUGCCCAUCGCUCAAUGGCUCAAUCGCAUCGCUCUCCAGGCAACACCGUAAGGAGGAGCAACCUGCCAUUUCGAUAUAUCAUAGCUGUGUUUGUGCCCUCACUCAUGGUCCAGACUUUUUUCAAAUAGGACAUGAAGUUUGUCUGCAGCGAGUGUUUUGGUAGAAACUGCGCCUCCCAUUCAUUAUAAUGGGAAAUGACCACAGACAAGUGCGCACACCAUCUUUGGACCUUGAGUGUGACGCGAUCGGGAGGGGGAGGCGGUCGCGCUAGGGGCGGCGCGACGCGGCUCGGGCCCGACAGUGCCCCACCGGGGCCCUAGUUAUUAUUUUAUUAUUAUUUUCCUCCCCUUUGAACUGGAAAAUGGCCCACUUCCCACUGGCGAAAACUCAUGAAAUUUGGCAGGACGACCGGGCCUGGUGAAAAAUUUGAUAUUCCGAAGUCGCCCAAACAAGAAAAUGCAAAAUGGCUCCAUAGCGCCCCCUAAGGUGAAAAUUCACACUAUUGACUGUCACGCCUGUACGCUUUGUCAAAAUGACACAAAAAUUGACACACACAUGUAUCUCAAUAAGAUCUACAAAAAAGUCAGUGCGGGCGUAUCUGUCAAAUGUACGGUUAAAGGGUUAUUUCGCAUUUUUUGCCGAUCCGCACACAUUGGAAUUUCGCUAACUCCUCCGAAGGCUUUUGUUCCACCGGCACCACAUUUGCUCAGGCCAAUCUACACCCCAUGGCCAUUAAAAGUUAUUCAAAUCAUGACGCUGCACCCCACGGUUUAGGUUCUAGGGGGCGCCAAAGAUAACCCUAAGAUCCACAUAUUUAAAAGUCUAAUAACUUUUUAUUUUUGCCGUCACUGGCCUCCAAGUUUUCUAGGAUGAUGCAAUGUCCAGCCAUCAACACAUUUGUGAAGGAAUUUUUACUCCCCAAAAGAGCGCCCCCCCA